rnacentral:rRNA from 1 species
CUACGUAGGGGGCGAGCGUUGUCCGGAAUGAUUGGGCGUAAAGGGCGCGUAGGCGGCCCGGUAAGUCUGGAGUGAAAGUCCUGUUUUUAAGAUGGGAAUUGCUUUGGAUACUGUCGGGCUUGAGUGCAGGAGAGGUAAGUGGAAUUCCCAGUGUAGCGGUGAAAUGCGUAGAGAUUGGGAGGAACACCAGUGGCGAAGGCGACUUACUGGACUGUAACUGACGCUGAGGCGCGAAAGUGUGGGGAGCAAACAGGAUUAGAUACCCUGGUAGUCCACACUGUAAACGAUGAAUGCUAAGUGUAGGGGGUUUCGACCCCUUCUGUGCCGCAGUCAACACAAUAAGCAUUCCGCCUGGGGAGUACGGCCGCAAGGUUGAAACUCAAAUGAAUUGACGGGG